UGAAAUUCUUAUAAGAGAAGAUACGGCCCGAAUUGUAACCAAAAACCAAAAAUCACGUUCAAUCUAAAAUUCUAAAGUCAGCCAGCCAGACCAUCUACAAAGUAUGAGGAUAAAAUGAAAAUUUUCAGGCAUGGAGGACCUCAAAUAAUUGCUCUUUCCCAGGCACCCCAUUCUUAGGACUCUACUGAGGACACACACACACACACACACACAGCCAGCAAAGGAAAGCAAAUCAAGGAAACAGAAGACAAGCGACCAAGAGAGGACAGAGAGGCACACAAAGUGCUACUGUCCAGCCUGAAGCAAGAGUAUGGAUGACACUAAAUCAAGACAUCGCUAAGAAAAAUCCAAUGGAACUAACAGAUGUCUUGAUACGCUACCUGGAGUGGGGGUGGGAAAUCAAAAGCGCUCGGCAUGUACCUGGGGGAAUAUAUGCAGAGACACAAAGCAGACUAAUCAGAAAAGCUUAAAAUCCAACUAAUUUGCUCUGGGGAAACAAAAUCGGGGUAGGGGUGGGGCAACCAGCUUCUAUUUAACUCAGAAAAGGGCAAUGUAUUUGUACACAGUAAUAUCAACACUGACUGCUGGUUUAAAAAUGCACUGGAGGGGCUGGAGAGAUGGCUCAGUGGUUAAGAACACUGGCUGCUCUUCCAGAGGACCCGGGUUCAAUUCCCAGCACCCACAUGGCAGCUCACAACUGUUUAUAACUCCAGUUCCAGGGGAUCCAACACUCUCAUAUAGGCAAAACUCCAAUGCACAUGAAAUAAAAAUAAGUCAUUUAAAGUUUAGAAAAAAAAAAGUGCACUGGAGAGUACGGGGUACAGGGAUGAUUCCAGAAGACAAAUGCUCAUUCCACACUGGUCGAGAAAUUCAAAAGAAAAACGAGAAAAUAAACAGAAGAACAGUUUAGGGAACUAUGAGCACUGCGGAGUGGGGCCCAGGUAAAAAGAGACCAAAGGAAGGUUGCUGGCAGUUUCUGGUUUCAGCCCUUUUUUGUUACUGGAUUGGUUUUCGCUGUGUGCUUAUAGUGACUGCAUUAAAACCUCUUCUAUGAAGCACAACCAGUUCAGCAUGUAAAGUUGUCACGACUGACUUCUAAGCUUCUACUUGGCCUUCUGAAUUCACUGUCCACGAAAUGUUGUGAGAUGAAGAUUAGCUUGUCGAAGCUUCUGGAAGGCGCUCAACCUUUUAAGCAUUCGAGAAUGUGGCAGGAAGCACUAUCUCAAGUAGUCUUGCACACCAUAAUAGCUAUCACGUUCAGGAGGCCCCGCAUACAUCCCACUACUUACUUUUUGCCACCCAGACAAAGCCAGAGAAUCCUUCAAAGGCAGCGCACCUGAGGGAGACACUACGGGACAGAAAGAGGCCCUAGCUCUGGUACAUGAAGAUCUAGAGGCCACACUGUAACCGGUCAACUCAGUUUGCACGGCAGAAAAUACCCACGGGUGGAUGAGAGAGUCCAAGGAGGCAAGCUCCUCACCUCCACUCCACUUCCACACUGCUCACUUCUGGACAUACUCGCCAAGUACUCAGCAUCAGGAGCUUAUGCAGCUACAAAUCCUAAGAAAAUCAGUUCCUGGCUACAAAAGAGCCCUUUCAGGUACUAAUGAGCAGUGGUCUCUUUUCCAACAUGCCAUAAUCAAACUUUUUUUUUUGGAGCUGAGGAUCGAACCCAGGGCCUUGCGCUUGCUAGGCAAGCACUAAAUCCCCAACCCUAUAAUCAAACUUCUUUAUGCACAAUAUCUUCAUGCCUUAAGCUUAGUCUGCAGCCAGUAAACACUGUUUUGUGUGGGUUUAAACUAUAUGUGUAAUGUAUGGAAUAAGCCCUGUUACCUUAAGUGGGUUAUUUAAAGCCUCACUUUUCUCAUCUCCCCUGAUACCUACCCCACUGGGUAACAAGAACCUGAGAAGAACUGACAUAUAUAGAUCCACAUUGCUCCCCAGCAAGAUGGCUCACAGCUAAAGGUGCUUGUUGUCAAGCUGUAUCAUCUGAGCUCCAGCCCUGGGACCCAUACUGUGGAGGGGGACAAUCUACUCCCUCAAGCUGUCCUCUGACCUCCACACAACACACAUAAAAAUAAACACAACAUAUCAUGGUAUACACACACAAAUAAAUAAAUAAAUAAAUAAAUAAAUAAGGUAGCAAAACUCUAAUGUGCAGUGGAAGAUACAUGCAAACACUCCGUCCAUGUCUGCAGCUAGCUGUUUCUGUUCCCCUACUUCCAUCCUGGCUGAGAUAGGAGAGGAAGUACAUGUCAACAAAGUCACAAUUAUGUCAGUUCUUUUAACAACAAAAGACAACACUUUACAAAAGCAUGCCUAUGAGUUGCUUCACAAAUCGUUAUUUUUCCUAAGCCCUUCUUCCAUGCUCCAGGAGUAAUUUAGAUGCAGUUUCAAUUCUGCUAGACAAAAUUCAAUUAAUUCAACUAGCCUCUAAGGAAGAUUAAGACAGGGCGUUACAAAAACACAAUUCCUCUUUGGUUAAAGAGUACCAACCCACACAUACAGCAAUGUCUAAACAGUCUGCUAAAAGCAAUUUCAUUCGGAUUCUGAGCUCUCUCAACCUACCUGAAGAAACUUCACUAAAAAAGACUAACAGGCGGGUGGAUCUCUGAGCUUCAGGCCAACCUCGUCUACACAGUGGGUUCCAGUACAGCCUGGGCUACAUAGAGUCCCUGUCUCAAGAAAAGAAAAAAGAAACUCCUCUAACACACAACACACACACACACACACACACACACACACCACAGAGACAGAGAGAGACAGAGAGAGAGAAAGAGAGAUGCGCGCCCACUAAAAUAAAAGUGACAGAUAAUGGAUGUUUAGGAGGCGAACUUUUCCGUUCCAACACUCCACUCAGACCCGCCACACCCUGAGAGUGAAGGGGCUGCAUUAAUGCACAAAAGAAGGUGAAAAAUUGGGUAUCCUCAGCGACCAGAGACUUCCUUUUGAUGGCUGGCCAGGCCUUCCUUGAAGGGCUGACUUUCAGAAUCCACGAAGUUCCAAGCGGAGGGGGAGAAUCGUUUCCCAAACAAGACUCCCCAAACAACGGAGCUAAACAGGUAAACGCAACCACCCACGGAACCAAAGCCAACUUCUCUCGCUGCAGGGUCUGCAGAGCAGGCGAGUGGCCUGGAAUUGCAGCACCAGGUCAAACUCAACGAACCCAAGCCAAACCUCCCGAGCUGCAGGUCCGGUCGGCCCGAAGGUGUGCAGGAUGCCACACACCGGAGGCGCCCGGCUCACCUUGCCCCCACUCGCUAAGCAGAAAGCACGCGCGCGGCGGCGUGGCCUGUGGGCCACCCACAGCAAGCUAAGGGGCGGCCACCCGGGUCCCGAGCGCCGACUCCGAGGCUCCGGAGCUCCGCGGCCUAGAGUGACACGCGCAGAGAGAGGCUGCGGAGACUGCGCGCGCGGGCUGCUCAGCGGCAGCACCGCGGGGCUCACGAGGCCCCGGGAGCGGCGCCACUCACCGAGCAGCCGGCGCACCUCGUCCUCGCUCAGGUGGGAUUCUUCGACUUGUGAUCUUCUUUUCAUGCUGGUGUGGCGGCCUCAAGAGAGCGCAGGGCCUGAACAGAGGUGGAGCAGGACAGUGGGAAUGGCCUGUGACUCCUUAUUCAUCAACUUCCUUACGCCUGGGCAGACUUAUGUGAGAAGGAAGUUUCUGUCAUACUGGAGUCACUGGGAACUCUGCCGCGAUGGCUUUUUCUUACCGGACUCAAAGUGUUUGAUCUGUUUAUCAAAACACAGGCCUUUAUUUAGGGAGAAAGCCUACAGAGUCUUCUGAAUAAAGCCACCUGCAGGUCUGCACUUGAUUUGAGCUCAUUCACAUUCCAAGCAACUGUUCCCUGAGGGUUGGUUUCCUUCAUGAUCUCAUAACCACUGGUUAUUUGUCACCCUGGUCUUGUGUAUUGUGAACUUAAAAAAAGAAAAAAUUCUCUGGAUGGAUGGUUUGCCUACAUGUGUGUCUGAGCAUCAUUUCCAUGCCUGGUGCCGUGGAGCCAGAAGAACCUGGAAAUUGAAUUACAGACAGCUGUGAGCUACCACACGGGUGCUGGGAUUUGAACCCAGGUCCUCUGGAAGAGUAAUGAGUGCUCUUAACCACUCUACCAUCUCUCCAGCCACGUGUGUCUUGGAGGUGCAGGUUCUAGUGGUGUGCUCUGGGGAGCACAUAGACCCUCUGUGGGUUCAUUUCCUACCCAUGCUUUCUCGAUCCUGGGGUUACUUGCUGCCAGGACAUCCUUCUACCUCCCUGGCCUCAGCUCAGAAGUCACUCUCCAGGGGACAACUCUGCUACUGCCUGCUCAGCACAGGAGGAACAGAAUGAAGAUCCUCCAUCCAGAUGCUCUAAAUUAAACGCGCUGGUGUUUGCCCAGGGGCACCUUCCCCUUCCUUGAGUCCCUUGACCCUGAACUUGGAGCUGUUCCAAAGUCACUCCCACCUCCAAAGCGGGACCUUCUCUGGGUGUGUUUUCCGCCGUGGUUUUCUCUGGUCUUGUUUUGCUGCUAAGUUGAUACCAUCUGCUUUCUUUUACAUGAUUUCUCAAUUUUUUGAGGGGAUCCAUUCAUAAGAAAUAAAAUGUUUCUGCAUGACAAAAUAACUAUAAACAAAGGCAAAAAACAGAAGACAGAAAUCUUUGCAGUUUCACCGCAGUCGAAGAACUGUGUUAUGUGAGGAACUUUUGCCAGCUGACAUAAACAGACAUUGGUGUGCACACAUACACACAUCUACAGUUCAACAACAAUAAGAAUAGGCAAAAAAAAAAAAAAACCCAGACAAUCUACAGAAAAUGCAAAUAAUUUGGAAAUGUAUUAAAACGCUUAAUUCUAAAUGUCUUUUAAAAAUAUUUAUUUAUUUUUAUUUUACAUGUAUGGGUAUUUUGCCCAUGUGUUUGUCUGUAUACCACUUGCAUGCAGUCCCUACAAAGGACAGAAGAAGUGUCAGAUGCCCUAGAACUGGAGUUACAGAUGGUUGUGAGCCACCAUGUGGAUGCUGGGAAUCAAACCCUGGCCCUCUGGAACAGCAGUCAGUAUUUUUAAAGCUGAGCAGUCUCUCCAGCCUCCUUAACCAUAGUGAAAAGAAAAAUUAACCUUCCUUAAUCAAUAAUCUAUAUUUUAACCUAUUAGAAUCUAAUCUAAUAAUUAGAUGGUGUGAUGGUUUGAAUAAAAAUGAUCCCUAUAGGUUCAUAGGGAGUGACACUAUUAGGAGUUGUGGCUUAGUUGGAGUAGGUGUGGCUUUGUUGGAGGGAGUGCCUCACUAGGGUGGUGGGCUUUGAGGUCUCAGAAACUCAAGCCAGACCUUUUCCUGAUGCCUGUAGAUCAAAGUGUAGAACUCUCAGCUCCUUCUCCAGCACCAUGUCUGCCUGCAUGCUGCUAUGCUUCCUGCCAUGACGAUAACGAACUAAACCUCUGAAACUAUAAGCAAGCCCCCAUUUAAAUGUUUACCUUUAUAAGAGUUGCCAUGGGCUGGGCAGUGGUGGUGCAUGCCUUUAAUCUCAGCACUCGGGGAGGCAGAGGCAGGCGGAGCUCUGUGAGUUCAAGGCUGUUACACAGAGAAACCCUGUCUCAAAAAACCAACCAAAAAAACACUGUGACCAAUAGAAACUGAACCAGGUUCUAGCAGUUUAACAGCGUGGUAUUGGUCACAGUGUGGACCAGUUUCUAACAGUUCGACAGCGUGGUAUUGGUCACAGUGUGGGGAAACAGGUACUUCCAUACAUGAUUGAUGGAGUGAAAAUCACUGGAGGCUCCUGUACAGAUAAUUUGACAAUUAUCUAUCCAUUUCACAGGCGUACAUUCUUUCCAGCUCAGCUCUUCCACUUCUAGUACUUCAACCUGAAGAUGUGUUUGUACAUUAGGUGCACAAAUGAGGCUACUGUCCUAGGUAGCUUUUUAUAGCUGUGAUAAACACCAGGACCAAAAGCAACUUGGGAGAGAAUGGGUUUAUUCCAUCUUAUGCUUCCACAUCACAGUUCAUCAUUGAGGGGACUCAGGGUAAGAACUCAAACAGGAACCUGGAGGCAGAAACUAAAGGAGAGGCCAUGAAACGCCUUUCUCUGGCUUCCUCAGCUUGUUUUCUUAGACAACCCAGGACCACCACCUGUCCAGGGGCAGCACUGCCUACAGUGAGCUGGACCCUCCUCAUUCAAUCGUCAAUCUAGAAAAUGCGCUCCCCCUCCCCAGAGUUGCUCAGAGGCCAACCUGAUGGAACCAGUUCCUCAACUGAGGUUUCCUCUUGCCAGAUGACUUGAGUUUGUGUCAAGUUGAAAACUGCCAACCAAUGCAGUCACCCCCUGCACUGUUUUCAUAUGAUUACAGAAGUCACUGGGAAGAACCCGCCCGUCAGCAGUGCGGUGUGUCACAAGCCACGGUGAGUGCACCUGAGUUUAUGGCCAUAAAGAAAACCGAGAAGCCUCUUUCAUGUAUGGAUUCUAUAUGAGAGCCAGAGAAAGAGCAGGGUGGCAUAGAGGGCAAGAAGAGGAACAAAAAUACAGUUCGGAUGCUUGAGUUUGCUGCUCACAGCUGACACCAACUGAGAGUGACUGCCUGGGGCAAAUGCUGAAAGAGAAACUUCCCUGCAGACCAAUGGAACAUUCUAGGCCUUCAGAUCCAGCUGAGUGCUCUUCUUUCAUCAAAGUUUGCUUUCUGAUUCUCAGAGCCCAGAAAUGGCAUGGUAUUAACUAGAUACUUUCUUGUUUUCCGCCUCCGUGGUAUCUCUGAAAAUGGAACGCAAGAACUAAGAAUGGGAGGACAGAUUGUCUCAAGGAGAAACAGAGACACCCAUUGUCCUUGAUCUGAAGAUGGUGUCCUGGAAAGGAUAAAACAGGUCCAUGAACAGAAGGACAACAGGAACCAAUGAGAGCCGAGAUGGGAUGGAUUUCAUUUCAUCUACACUGGCCUUGAUCUCCAUGUAUGAUGAAGGAUGACCUUCUGAUCUUCCUGCCUUCAGCUCCAGAAUGCUGCGAUUAUAGGAAUGUACCUUACACACUGUUUUAUGUGGUACUGGAGAUGGAAAGCAGAACUCCCUGAAUGCUGGGCAAGCUUUCUGUCAGCUGAGUGACAUCCCCAGCUCAGAGCAGGAACUUUUUA